GAUAAAGAGAAAUUAAAAGUUUGUUUCAUUACGUUAUUUAUUUUACGUAAUAAAAGAGGAAUCAAAUUUUUUUUCCCACCAAAAAAAUAGGUCAGUCACAGAUUGAAAUCGCUUUUAUAUAUAGUAUAGAUAGAUAAAUAGUAUAGAUAUUAUAUUAUAGACAGAGAUAAGGAAUUAGAAGUAAACAAAUUUUGAAUUAAAAUAUAAAUUUGCAGUAAAUAUUUUCCGGUUGGCAAAAAUUUGGAUAAGUAUAAAUUUUUUUUCUGUUGUAAAAAUAAAGAAGAAUUAAAAGUUUGUUUAAUUCUGUUAUUUAUUUUACGUAAGAAAGAGAAAUUAAUUUUUUUCCCUACAAAAUGGGUUGCCGAUAGACCGAAAUUUAAAAUACGUGCUUAUAUAUAUAUAGAGUUGAGCUAGAAUGCUAUCGGUAACAAACUGGCUGGAAUAUUUAAAUUGACAAUCGGCACCAUUGAACAGGAUCUAUACCACUUGAAGUAUCUAGAAACUAAAUUUCAAAUCAUUUCGACAUCAUUAACCUAAUGAUAAAAAGGUUUCAAAAUUUAUAAUUUUAAUGGUAGAUAUGUGACGUUUUUUUAUUUAACGGUAUAAAGCUAUCCAAAUUAAUUGAAUUUUGGUUAGAAAAUUCUUUAAACUAUUUAGAAUAAGAUCUAUACUCUCGAUCUUGAUUGCAAAAUUCCUAUCAUCAUUUUUUAGAGGAUAUUCAUUUGUAGCCGUUCAUUUUUACGCCCACUUGAUCGACAAGAGAAUAAUAUCGGAAAAGCAUAAAAUUUGAUUUCCAGAUACUUUAAGUGGUAUAGAUCAUAUUCAACGGUAUCGAUCGUCGAUUUGAAAGCUCAAUCAUCGAAAACAAAUGGGUGGCAACGGAGCCCGUUUGCUGCCGAUAGUAUUCUAGCUCAACUCUAUAUAUAUAUAUAUAUAGAGAGAGAGAGAACUAGGUUGGAAUACUAUCAAUAGCACUAAGCUAUUGGUGCUAUUGAUUUUUUAGCCCUUGGAUUGAAAAAUAGGUGGUUAAGACGUGGGCCCCCAAGAGUUGAGUGAGUGGCUGGUUGAAUAGUUUAAUCUAACGGGUAAAAAGAAUCAAAAAGUUAAAUCUAACAGUGGAAAACUCGAUAUCACCAAAUUCUUGGUGCUAUUGAUAGUAUCCCAGCCGGACUUUAUAUAUAUA
rnacentral:lncRNA from 1 species